GGAGGGUGCAAGCGUUAAUCGGAAUUACUGGGCGUAAAGCGAGUGCAGGCGGCUGCGUAAGUCGGAUGUGAAAGCCCUGGGCUUAACCUGGGAAUGGCAUUCGAAACUGCGCAGCUAGAGUCUGGUAGAGGGAAGUGGAAUUCCAGGUGUAGCGGUGAAAUGCGUAGAUAUCUGGAGGAACAUCAGUGGCGAAGGCGGCUUCCUGGACCAAGACUGACGCUCAGGCUCGAAAGCGUGGGUAGCAAACAGGAUUAGAUACCCUGGUAGUCCACGCCCCUAAACGAUGUCAACUAGACGUUGGGUUCAUUAAAGAACUUAGUGUCGAAGCUAACGCGUUAAGUUGACCGCCUGGGAGUACGGCCGCAAGGUUG
rnacentral:rRNA from 1 species